UACGGAGGGUGCGAGCGUUGUCCGGAAUCAUUGGGCGUAAAGAGCUUGUAGGUGGUUUGUCGCGUCUGCUGUGAAAAUCCGAGGCUCAACCUCGGACUUGCAGUGGGUACGGGCAGACUAGAGUGUGGUAGGGGAGACUGGAAUUCCUGGUGUAGCGGUGGAAUGCGCAGAUAUCAGGAGGAACACCGAUGGCGAAGGCAGGUCUCUGGGCCAUUACUGACACUGAGAAGCGAAAGCAUGGGGAGCGAACAGG
rnacentral:rRNA from 1 species